rnacentral:lncRNA from 1 species
AGACCGUGCGAGGAGCGAUUCCGGAAGGUCGCUCGUGGCCACUGGACUCUUCUGCAGACCAGGAGAUCGGGAUCUGGAAUGGGGCUUGGAGUUGAGCUCAUGCAGCAAGCUAGGGGCAGGGUGAGUUUAGGAGAAGAAUCAGCCAGGCUCCUGGCCGGCUGGGAGGGGCUCCGGCAGUCCCAGCAGCGUGGGCGAGGAGAAGGGAGUGGAGCAGCCACUCUGGGCGACCCAGUGACCUUGAACAUUUGAGCCCCGUGAAAUCGGGGCAGCUGGAUGAGGAGUGCAGAGGCAGCUGGGGCUGCGCACAGAGCACGGGGAGGGACUGCCCCCGCUGGGUCCUCAGAGAGAGGCCGCUUUCUGCUUUAAA